UACGAAGGGGGCUAGCGUUGCUCGGAAUUACUGGGCGUAACGGGCGCGUAGGCGGAUGUUUAAGUCAGAGGUGAAAGCCCAGGGCUCAACCUUGGAACUGCCUUUGAUACUGGACAUCUUGAGUGUGGGAGAGGUGAGUGGAACUCCGAGUGUAGAGGUGAAAUUCGUAGAUAUUCGCAAGAACACCAGUGGCGAAGGCGGCUCACUGGCCCGAUACUGACGCUGAGGCACGAAAGCGUGGGGAGCAAACAGG
rnacentral:rRNA from 1 species